ensembl:lncRNA
CGAGACGUGAUUGGCUGCCGGCGGGGAGCGCAAGUUAUCAUAAGCUCCUCCAGCCGAAAAAUGUCCACUACUUUGAAAGUUUUCAACCGUCACUAGUGUUCUACCAUCACAGUCCGACAGCGCUGCUGCUCCUCCUCCUCCUCUUCCAUCAAAGAGGAAGCACAGGGGGGCGCCACGCUUCAAGUCUCACCUGAGGCAGGACACCCGGGUGCUGGAGGAGCAAAAGGGGAAGCCCCAAUGCCAGACGGGGGACCCCUGCCCCACGUGCGCCCAACCCAGGACCCUGGACACGGGGCACGCGCUCUACAAGAGCAGCGUGUACUGCGAGUCGGAGGCGGGCCCUGGGUGCCUCACCGCUCGUGAGUGGCUCAUCAGCCAACAGGCCCUGGAGGACGCCGGGAAGGUGCCCAGGACCACCCUGUGGAACAUCGCCCGCAGGAAGGAGGGGCAGGUCGGCGGCUCCUCUUCCCCUGGACGCAAACCGCACUAGCUGCAGAUCUACCAGCGGUGCCUCCAGCCGGCGCAGAAAGACUUUGGC